rnacentral:tRNA from 1 species
GCGGAAGUGGUGAAAUUGGUAUACACGCCAGAUUUAGGAUCUGGUGCCGCAAGGCGUGUGGGUUCGAGUCCCACCUUCCGCA